GCGUCGUGUCAACAUUGUAAUGUCGCAAU
rnacentral:sRNA from 1 species